GGCAGCAAUUAAAGAAUUUUACAGGUAUCUCAUGCAUGCAAUUAAUAUCCAAGCAUUUAUCUUUUGUUGGUUUUGGUGCUGCUUUGUUAGUCAAUAAUUUGAUGAAUGCUCUAAUAUAUAGUUUCUCCAAUAUGUUGUGUGGUCAGAUAUGUCACUGAUCAAAUUUCUUUUAAGAAAUAAGUGUGCAAGUUGUUGGUCCACGUCCAUCUGGCAUGCAUAUAAUUCUAGUAUCAACUGGUUGGAUCAUCUGAUGAUAUUGCAAUGAUAUUCUGAUGUUCUAUGUUGUUGAACUAUGUAGUAGAGGAGUUUGGUCAUACGUUUUGGUGACUUUCUUUAUUGAAUUUGUUGGUUUUCGUUAUUCUUCCACUCAUGCAAAAUUUAAAGUCAAUAUGUAAAGUGGUUAUACCAUUUUUUAUAAGUUGAGCCACCAUACUUGUUUCAAUUUUACUUGAAGAGAUGGAUUAACAUUUUUAUGCUGGAAGAUUGGCAAGAAGUUCUACUAGUGGGUUUUUUCAUAAUUUAAAGGUUCGUGUAGAUGUCCAACUACUUGAUUUAUAACUUAAUUAUUCAUGCCUUUUUAAUUGAAAUGUCUUGUUCCCAAGAGAAAGGUAGUAAUUUUAGUUUUUUCCCUGAAAGAUUUUGGAAAAUCAGACCAUUGAAUUUAUGAUUCUUAAAUGGGCCUUUGGUUGUAUAAAUACAUAGCUUCCCAUUAGGGAGGGAAUAAUCUUUUGUUCUGGUUGGAUAUAGGCCAAAAGAUUUAGCAUUGACUGCUACACCAA
rnacentral:misc_RNA from 1 species